rnacentral:rRNA from 1 species
CCUACGGGUGGCAGCAGUCGAGAAUCAUUCACAAUGGGGGAAACCCUGAUGGUGCGACGCCGCGUGGGGGAAUGAAGGUCUUCGGAUUGUAAACCCCUGUCAUGUGGGAGCAAAUUAAAAAGAUAGUACCACAAGAGGAAGAGACGGCUAACUCUGUGCCAGCAGCCGCGGUAAUACAGAGGUCUCAAGCGUUGUUCGGAAUCACUGGGCGUAAAGCGUGCGUAGACUGUUUCGUAAGUCGUGUGUGAAAGGCGCGGGCUCAACCCGCGGACGGCACAUGAUAAUGGGAGACUAGAGUAAGGGAGGGGGAACCGGAAUUCUCGGUGUAGCAGUGAAAUGCGUAGAUAUCGAGAGGAACACUCGUGGCGAAGGCGGGUUCCUGGACAUUAACUGACGCUGAGGCACGAAGGCCAGGGGAGCGAAAGGGAUUAGAUACCCUUGUAGUC